CAGCCUUGAGGGACCAGUCUGCUGUGAUUGGACAACUGCCAACAUCACCUAGUCGCUUUCUUCCCUUCUGCUCUAGCUCUCUAGUGACACACAUACACACCAAAACCAAACAUCUCUGUUGCGGUCCUACCCCUUCACGUCCAAAUUUCCGCUUACCCUGGGUUCCAGGGAAUUGAAACAGGCCCCCCCCCUCCCCUCCUGAUACGAGUACAGUGCUGAUUUUCAGCUGUGUCUGUACAUUAACACUCUCCAAAACACACGGUUGGGUAAAGACAUCUACACAAGCCGGAGAGGGAGGGAGAGAGCUCAGUGCUGUGCAUAACAGACACUAUGAAUUAUGGGAAAAGUAUUAACUGUAUAUAUUGGGGACAACGACUCGCUCUCCUCUAAAGCACAGUCAGUACCACAGAGAACGGUAAAACGCUACCAUAUUGCUCCUCUGUAAGACGUAGAAGAUAUUUAGAAGAAGUGUCCAUUCUCAGGUUCCGGAGGCGUAUUAUUCCAUAUUGGUCACAUGACUGCUGAGGGACUGGUGUUCUCUUUCCGCAUGGCUGUUUGGUUUCGCCUUUUCCUUUAAAGAUAAUAUGUGCUGUGAACGUCCAGGGCGCCAUGUUGUAUUAUUUUCUAGGUAAAACGGUUUCGGCGGGGUCCCCUUAAGUCUGCACCGUGUGGCAUGUUGAGUCGUAUUUAAUCAGUAGGGAUGGAUCAGAUAUGCAGCGUGUUUACCUGGCUGUAUGCAGGCUCACUGGGUGGGCUGAGGAGCAGUUGAUUUACACUGUGUGGACUUAACAAACGAAAUGAGAUCUGAAGUACUAUGAAAAGCACUCAUCUUGAGGAAGUAGCUCUGAAGUACGUUUUUUUUUUUCUUUGACCUGUUUUCUUAAAUCACAUCCGACAUUCUCCAAAACAACUUUAAGGUGAGAAUUGUACAAAUGUGCCAUCCCCCCCCCCCAACAUCCUCUAUCUAUUAAAAUGGUCAUGGCAGCAUUUCUGUUACUGCUCCCUCCUUCCCCAAACUGAGUCCUCCAUGGGAUCCCAGCAUAUUGAAAUGAAACUUGGACGGCAAUGGCAGAAAAUCAAGUUUUAAUACAACACUGAUUCUGAUACAUUUUUAACGAGUUUCAGACUUGAAGCAACUGUCACAGGUGUGCAGGUUAACAUUCAUUGUGUAAAUAUUGUGUUAUUUCCUAUUUUGCAUAUUUACUACUUGUAAAUAAACACGCAUCAAGGAGAGA
ensembl:lncRNA